rnacentral:rRNA from 1 species
UACGUAGGGUGCAAGCGUUGUCCGGAAUUAUUGGGCGUAAAGAGCUCGUAGGCGGUUUGUCGCGUCGAAUGUGAAAACCCGGGGCUCAACCCCGGGCCUGCAUUCGAUACCGGCAGACUAGAGUUCGGUAGGGGAGUCUGGAAUUCCUGGUGUAGCGGUGAAAUGCGCAGAUAUCAGGAGGAACACCGGUGGCGAAGGCGGGACUCUGGGCCGAUACUGACGCUGAGGAGCGAAAGCGUGGGGAGCGAACAGG